UGGGCCCUGUGCAACAAUGUACUGCGAACUCCGCCAGGUCCGGAAGGAAGCAACGGUAAGUGGUUGCAGUGUGUGCUGCGGGAUU
rnacentral:SRP_RNA from 1 species